GGGGUCUAAAGAAUGCUUUUUUGUUUACAACAUACCCAAGAAGAAUAUGGGGCCACUGUAAUGAGGGGCACAGCACUAUGUCCUCUCUGUAAGUAAAUCCCCUACAUGU
ensembl:snoRNA